GAUGAACGCUGGCGGCGUGCCUAAUACAUACAAGUCGAGCGAACAGACGAGGAGCUUGCUCCUCAGACGUUAGCGGCGGACGGGUGAGUAACACGUGGAUAACCUGCCUAUAAGACUGGGAUAACUUCGGGAAACCGGAGCUAAUACCGGAUAAUAUAUUGAACCGCAUGGUUCAAUAGUGAAAGACGGUUUUGCUGUCACUUAUAGAUGGAUCCGCGCCGCAUUAGCUAGUUGGUAAGGUAACGGCUUACCAAGGCAACGAUGCGUAGCCGACCUGAGAGGGUGAUCGGCCACACUGGAACUGAGACACGGUCCAGACUCCUACGGGAGGCAGCAGUAGGGAAUCUUCCGCAAUGGGCGAAAGCUUGACGGAGCAACGCCGCGUGAGUGAUGAAGGUCUUCGGAUCGUAAAACUCUGUUAUUAGGGAAGAACAAAUGUGUAAGUAACUAUGCACGUCUUGACGGUACCUAAUCAGAAAGCCACGGCUAACUACGUG
rnacentral:rRNA from 1 species